GAGCGUGGUGUUUGGCCUUCUUAGGGGGCGAGUGAAGCGGCAAAAGCUCAAAUUUGAAAUCUGGUACCUUCGGUGCCCGAGUUGUAAUUUGGAGAGGGCAACUUUGGGGCCGUUCCUUGUCUAUGUUCCUUGGAACAGGACGUCAUAGAGGGUGAGAAUCCCGUGUGGCGAGGAGUGCGGUUCUUUGUAAAGUGCCUUCGAAGAGUCGAGUUGUUUGGGAAUGCAGCUCUAAGUGGGUGGUAAAUUCCAUCUAAAGCUAAAUAUUGGCGAGAGACCGAUAGCGAACAAGUACAGUGAUGGAAAGAUGAAAAGAACUUUGAAAAGAGAGUGAAAAAGUACGUGAAAUUGUUGAAAGGGAAGGGCAUUUGAUCAGACAUGGUGUUUUGUGCCCUCUGCUCCUUGUGGGUAGGGGAAUCUCGCAUUUCACUGGGCCAGCAUCAGUUUUGGUGGCAGGAUAAAUCCAUAGGAAUGUAGCUUGCCUCGGUAAGUAUUAUAGCCUGUGGGAAUACUGCCAGCUGGGACUGAGGACUGCGACGUAAGUCAAGGAUGCUGGCAUAAUGGUUAUAUGCCGCCCGUCUUGAACCCCCGAAACAA
rnacentral:rRNA from 1 species